UCUCUUUCCCCGCGCGCUCCGAGUGCCUAUAUUCGGGUUGCCACUCGCAAGAGCGGCUAUGGCGAUAAACGAACGUCGAAAUAAGCCUUUCGGACCCGGGGGCGGUACCCGGCGCCUCCACCAGAGCCCGUACGCGAUUCGCGAGACGGGUUCCGGCGGGGGCGAAAUAGGAUCGACGAGGGUGUAAAGGUCGUUCUUUUGCUCGGCAUGGUUCCGCCGUUAUCGGGCCAUUGCAUAGUUGCCAACGACAACAAUGCUCGGGUUGCCGUCGCCGCGUAAGCGGUGCUGGUUCCCAAACCAAAGCCCUUGCGCUUAGCCGCGUAAGGCGGGGCUCGGAGGCGCCUGGCAACAGAAGCCUCCACU
rfam:Bosea sp. LC85 contig24, whole genome shotgun sequence.